UAAUCCCGUUAGCUCAGUGCUGCCGCAAUCCUAAUCUGCACAGAUUGCUGAAGUCUGCUCUGAAUGGUCUCAAUCCCCACGGAAUGCCCAACCACUUCUAAACAUUCAGGAUGUUUAACUGGGUGGUGAAGGUUGUGCCACAUCCUCAUGAUACACAGGAGGAUCUGGGGGAGGAGGCGAUCACUGCGAAUGGAAAAACAUCAAAUCGAGACAAGUGCAAUCCAACCAAAACGGGCAGGGAGGAAGACCAAUCAUCUCAAACCUCAAAGGACAGUGUUCAGAGUGGUAUGUUGAACUGGAUCUCCAACGGUUUUGCGAGUGCUCUGCCCCAACCUGCAGUGAGUCCUCUUCUUAUGAGAGCCAACCCUGAUGCUAAAGUAUUGAUUUCAUGUCAACUAAAGUAGUUUGAUAUUUAAUACCAUUUGGUAUUGCAUAUUAAUGUGCAUUCAAAGCAAAUGUAUUUUUUUAUUUAUUUUGCAGUCGCUUCAGGAUGAAGGUUCUACGGACAG
rnacentral:lncRNA from 1 species